rnacentral:rRNA from 1 species
UACGUAGGGGGCGAGCGUUGUUCGGAAUUAUUGGGCGUAAAGAGCUCGUAGGCGGUUUGUCGCGUCUGCCGUGAAAGUCCGGGGCUCAACUCCGGAUCUGCGGUGGGUACGGGCAGACUAGAGUGAUGUAGGGGAGACUGGAAUUCCUGGUGUAGCGGUGAAAUGCGCAGAUAUCAGGAGGAACACCGAUGGCGAAGGCAGGUCUCUGGGCAUUAACUGACGCUGAGGAGCGGAAAGCAUGGGGAGCGAACAGG